rnacentral:lncRNA from 1 species
UCCAGAAUUGUACAAGCGAUAAGUUUUUAAGAGAAAGAAGAAAGAGGCAGCUCUUCCAGUAGUUGUGAGCAGGUUUUUCUCAAAGUCUAAAUGCUUUUUUGUCAUGUCAAGAAAUUGGUAGAGAUGUUACUCGGGACUAUAAACACUAUCAUUUUAAGAAAAUAGCCAUUCAUUGACCAAAAAAGUAUGGAGAGGAAUUUAUACUUGCAAAGAAAAGAAAAAAACAUCUUAUCACCAAUUUGAAACCUAAUUUAUAUCAUAGUUAAAGCCUUGAGAGGAUGAAUCAACAGGCCAAAGUUUUGAAAAAAACAGAUAGAGCAACCAUAUUACCUGGACAAGAGCAUUUAUAAUGACAAGGGGGUCAAAUUUUGAGCAGUAGCUCGCCUCAAUUUACCAUAUACAGCGGUUGAGAACUGCACAGCAAUGAGAUUUACUUAUCAUUUCACAUAUUGCUUCCCUAUAUAAGAUAUAAGUGCAUGAUCUGAAACUCAAAGUGAUAUGAGCACAACCCACACACAUACAAACUCUCAAGAAAUGCAUGAAUGAUGCAGAGUAAGCAUUAUAUGGAAUACAACAGGAAAAAUGGGCAUGGAAAUUACUAGUUCAGGUAGCCAUUAGAUGUGGAGUGUGUUCAACUAGCUUGAUCCUGCUCUAUAACUACUACGAGGUCAAUCAAAAAAUCGCAAUGGCAUAUCAUAAAUGAAAACCUGUGAAACAUAAAAAACACAACACACCAUUUCAUAGAAACAAGGCCAAUCGCCAAGUCUUUAUCUUCAGUUAAAGUGUAAUAUUCAUCUGUGACAACCUUAAUUAAUGCACCCAUAAGCUUCUUUGAUUGAACAUCUGCUUUCAAACUACAA